rnacentral:rRNA from 1 species
UGCUGCAUGGCUGUCGUCAGCUCGUGUCGUGAGAUGUUCGGUUAAGUCCGCUACGAGCGCAACCCUCGUCGUGUGUUAUACGUGUCACACGAUACUGCCGGUAUCAAGCCGGAGGAAGGUGGGGAUGAUGUCAAGUCAGCAUGGCCUUUAUAUCCUGGGCUACACACACGCUACAAUGGCAGAUACAAUAGGUUGCGAAACCGCGAGGUGGAGCCAAUCCUCAAAGUCUGUCUCAGUUCAGAUUGUAGGCUGUAACUCGCCUGCAUGAAGUUGGAGUUGCUAGUAAACGCAGGUCAGCUAUACUGCGUUGAAUACGUUCCCGGGGUUU